CCAACAUGGAGGCCCCUGGGCCCAGGAGCGCUAGAGGAGUGUAGGGCUCUGCCCUGAGGUACAGGCCUUUGCCACAACGGUGGAGAUAAAGCUCAGCCUGCAUGUCCCUUCGGACGAUGGCUGAGGAGAAACAAUGCAGACAGCAUCU
rnacentral:snoRNA from 1 species